AACAAAAAGUUGUACUUGCCACCUAUAUUCUUGUGGGAGAGACAAACCGCUGAUGGUAGCUCAAGUAGAUCAUCCUGCCCAUUUCAGUCACUUGAAAAUAAUUUCUGAUUGCCUUCAAUAUAGAAUACCUCCCAAAGCACCUCUGACAUUUGAAAGAAAUGUAAUUUGCACACCUAGUCCAUGAUGAUAUGACUACGUCAGAGUAUGUCCGAAGGUUUCUAGAGUUGGACCGGUAUUCCCCUGAGAGCAUGAUGGAUGAAGGU
rnacentral:lncRNA from 1 species